GUUAGAACGCUCGUAGUCGGAUUUCGGGGCAGUCCGACCGGUCUGCCGAUGGGUAUGCACUGGUUGGAGUGUCCUUUCUGCCGGAGACCGUGCCUACUCUUAACUGAGCGGGGGCGGGAGACGGCACUUUUACUUUGAAAAAAUCAGAGUGUUUCAAGCAGGCAGCUCGCUCUUGCAUGGAUUAGCAUGGGAUAAUGAAAUAGGACUUUGGUGCUAUUUUGUUGGUUUCGAACACCGAAGUAAUGAUGAGAAGGAGCAGUCAGGGGCACUCGUAUUCCGCAGAGAGAGGUGAAAUUCUCAGACCCGCGGAAGACGAACCACUGCGAAAGCAUUUGCCAGGGAUGUUUUCACUGAUCAAGAACGAAAGUUAGGGGAUCGAAGACGAUCAGAUACCGUCGUAGUCUUAACCAUAAACCAUGCCGACUAGGGAUUGGAGGAUGUUCACUGAUUGACUCCUUCAGCACCUUACGGGAAACUAAAGUCUUUGGGUUCCGGGGGGAGUAUGGUCGCAAGGCUGAAACUUAAAGGAAUUGACGGAAGGGCACCACCAGGUGUGGAGCCUGCGGCUUAAUUUGACUCAACACGGGGAAACUUACCAGGUCCAGACAUUGUGAGGAUUGACAGAUUGAGAGCUCUUUCUUGAUUCGAUGGGUGGUGGUGCAUGGCCGUUCUUAGUUGGUGGAGUGAUUUGUCCGGUUAAUUCCGUUAACG
rnacentral:rRNA from 1 species